rnacentral:rRNA from 1 species
AUUGAACGCUGGCGGCAGGCCUAACACAUGCAAGUCGAACGAGUGGCGGACGGGUGAGUAAUGUCUGGGAAACUGCCCGAUGGAGGGGGAUAACUACUGGAAACGGUAGCUAAUACCGCAUACCAUCGGAUGUGCCCAGAUGGGAUUAGCUUGUAGGUGAGGUAACGGGUCACCUAGGCGACGAUCCCUAGCUGGUCUGAGAGGAUGACCGGCCAAACGGGAACUGAGAAACGUUCCAGACUGCUCCGGGAGGCAGCAGGGGGGAAUAUUGAACAAUGGGCGAAAGCCUGAUGCAGCCAUGCAGCGGGUAUGAAGAAGGCCUUCGGGUUGUAAAGUACUUUCAGUGGGGAGGCGUUACCCGCAGAAGAAGCACCGGCUAACUCCGUGCCAGCAGCCGCGGUAAUAC